rnacentral:rRNA from 1 species
UACGUAGGGGGCAAGCGUUGUCCGGAUUUAUUGGGCGUAAAGAGCGUGUAGGCGGCUUGGUAGGUCCGCUGUGAAAACUCGAGGCUCAACCUCGAGAUGUCGGCGGAAACCACUUGGCUAGAGUCCGGAAGAGGAGAGUGGAAUUCCCGGUGUAGCGGUGAAAUGCGCAGAUAUCGGGAAGAACACCUAUGGCGAAGGCAGCUCUCUGGGCCGGUACUGACGCUGAGGAGCGAAAGCGUGGGGAGCGAACAGG